rnacentral:tRNA from 1 species
CGGGACGUGGCGCAGCUUGGUAGCGCACUUGACUGGGGGUCAAGGGGUCUUGACUGGGGGUCAAGGGGUCGCAGGUUCAAAUCCUGUCGUCCCGA